UCCUGAGCUCAGGCAAUCCGCCCACCUCAGCCUCCCAAAGUGCUAGGAUUACAGGUGUGAGCCACCACACUUGGCCUUGUGUCACUGGUUUCGAAGCUUCAUCUCUGUACCUCCUUGUCAUCCCACCUGCACUGGGCUGGUGUUGGGCCCCUGAACUUGGGAUCCUGAGGGGGGUCUCAGGUCAACUCUGGGGGUCACUAUUGUGCUCGUUUUGGAAAAACAACAUACAGCUUUGUACGUUUUGGAAAAGGGCUAAUUGGAGGAUAUCCACUUGUGGUUUUCUGGAAUUUCCCUCUGGCAUACCCCAUUUUUGCCUUUUAGUCCUGUCUGUGUGGCCUUGGGCAAAUCGCUUGACCUCUCUGAGGUUUGAGUGCUUGAGAAGUGGGUUGGUUAGAUGGUCUUCACGGGCCUGCCAGCUCUUAGAUAUUAUUUCAAACCUUUCUGCUUCUCUUACGUCUCCAGACUCCAUGAGAGGAGAAGGGGGAACAGGGAUUGGCUAUGAGAAAAAGGAAGAAGAAAUUUAACAAAGCUGAAAAGAACCAAACUUAUUUUGGGGGUGGUGGGUUGGGGAGAAAAAAUUCUGCCAAGGUAGUUAUAUCCCUGCAAUUAAUUAAUGCUGUGAGACAAAAAAUUGCACUAAAAAUUCCACUCCGUGUGUGUGUAUGCGUGCGUGUUUAUUUGCCUUGGAUUUUUCCUUACCUGAAUCAUGGAGCUGCCCACCCAUUCCCUUGAAUUUAAAAGAAGUAAGUCAAAUGGUCCUGCGGUCAGAAAAGUGAUUUCUUAGCCACCAAGGACAAAAUAGCGUCUCUGGUUACCAACCCUAAAGAAUGUCUUGGCACAUUCCUCCCUCUGGGGCUGAGCUGUUUUGUGUGCUGGCCGGCCAGGAGCUGCUGGGGGUAGGGAAUCCAGUUUUCAGCUUCCCCUUUCACCAGGGGGUUGGAAGAGCAGCCAAGCAGCCAGCCUUGCCAACUCUCUCCCCUUCUCACCCAGGGGAAGACUGGGAGGCCGAAAUUCCUGAGGAUGGUUGUCCCAACAACCGGAGAGGGUCCAGUGGACAGCUUGGGUCCUGCCCACUGGGCCAAAGGCUCCAGCAGCACCACAGGCUUUUCCUGAGUCAAGGCCAGACUGGGAAGGUGACAGGCCCUUCCGGAAUCAGGUGCUGUGGAUCAGGUCUGAACAGCACCUUGGAGCCAUGCUCCUUUUGCGGAGUAACUCCGGGUGCUUUUGUGAGCUCCCAGAAAAGGGGCCAGUGUCCUGUGUAUUUCACUUCGUGGUAUGCAAAACAAAUGCACCGAUUGUUCUCGGAGGAAGAAUAGAUCUUUGGGGCUGGCCCUCCCAGACAAGGUUCCUGCAGCCUGAUUCCUUCUUUUUGUGCGAUUUGUAUUCAGACCUUCUCAUAGGAACCACCUGGGAAUUCUGGGCAGUUUCUGGGACUGUGUGAUAAAUACCAGAGGCACACAUGGCUGGAGAGGCCAUGCUGAGAGGAUCCAGCAAUUUCUCCCACGACUUGAGGAUCUUUUGCUAACCCUGUUAUUUGAGAAAUAAUAUAUAUGGUAGGAAGUCAGGUCUACAGCAGUCAAAAAGUCUUAACCUCUGUCAGGUCACAGACCCUUAUGAGACUGAUAAAGGUUCAGAACUCUUCCUAGAGAAAAGGUUUUUAAAUAAUUUCAGGGACCUCCUGGACCCCAGGUUCAUAACUCCUGCCAUAGAUAAGCUUGGAAAUUGCUUGCCACCAUCAAAAGCCCUCCUAUUUAGCUAGUCUGCUGACAGCUUUAUGUGGGCUAUCUCUUUAAAUCCUCCUAACAACCCUGGGACUAGGUACAACUAUUACCUACCUGAAUUACCCAAUGCUCAGGGAGGCUUGGUAAAGCCCCUCAACCUUUGUGGAGCUGAGAUGUGAAUACUAGGCAGGCUCACGCCAGAACACACAUUACUAACCACUGUCUCAUUUUACUUCCUGCUGAGUUACCUGCAGAAUCAAGACCGCUGCUCCAGUGCCUAAGGAAUUUGGCCUUGGGAAAUGGAGCUAAGACAGGCAUGAUUUCACUUACUUGUGACCAUUCUGGUGUGGCCAGGUCAUGGGCACCUAGAGGGCAAAUGUGGGUAAGUGAGUCUUUGGCUCCUGGAAUCUUGGAUCUGCCACUUGCUACCUGAGUUACCUUGGUAAUUGACAUAAUCUCCCUGAACCUUGGGUUUGUCUUCUAAUGAAUGGGGAGAUGUCCAUUAACCAUCAAGGGUAGUUAUGGGUGAUAAGUAAGUGAAGGUAGGUAGGGCAGCAAGCAUUAAGUCUGACGUGCAGGGGACACUCAGGAAUGCCAGUUCCUUUAACUUUUACUAGAAAGUACCUGUGAAACACCAGCAUCAAAUGGAGCCUGCAUAUCUACCCAAUUUUGCAGCUGGAGUGGACCUUUCUGUUCGUGACAUCCAGGCCUCUCAUUUCACUGAUGAAAUUGAGAGCCAGCCGGGUGCGGUGGCUCACAACUAUAAUCCCAGCACUUUGGGAGGCUGAGGCGGGCAGAUCACCUGA